rnacentral:rRNA from 1 species
UAAUAGCUCACUGGUCGAGUGACUCUGCGCCGAAAAUGUACCGGGGCUAAACGUAUCACCGAAGCUGCGGAUUGUUCUUACGAACAAUGGUAGGAGAGCGUUCAAAGUGCAGUGAAGUCAGACCGUGAGGACUGGUGGAGCGCUUUGAAGUGAGAAUGCCGGUAUGAGUAGCGAAAAAAGAGUGAGAAUCUCUUUCACCGAAAGCCUAAGGUUUCCUGAGGAAGGCUCGUCCUCUCAGGGUUAGUCGGGACCUAAGCCGAGGCCGAAAGGCGUAGGCGAUGGACAACAGGUAGAUAUUCCUGUACCACCUCAUGAGUGUUUGAACGAUGGGGGGACGCAGUAGGAUAAGGAAUGCGCACCGAUGGAAGUGUGCGCCCAAGCAGUGAGAAAGUCGGAUAGGCAAAUCCGUCCGAUAAUUUCAAGCUGUGACGGGGAGGGAAAUAGAGUACCGAAGUUCCGGAUUUCACACUGCCAAGAAAAGCCUCUAGUAAGUUCAUAGGUGCCCGUACCGCAAACCGACACAGGUAGGCGAGGAGAGAAUCCUAAGGUGAGCGGGAGAACUCUCGUUAAGGAACUCGGCAAAAUGACCCCGUAACUUCGGGAGAAGGGGUGCUCCUUUAAGGAGGAGCCGCAGUGAAUAGGCCCAAGCGACUGUUUAGCAAAAACACAGGUCUCUGCGAAGCCGAAAGGCGAAGUAUAGGGGCUGACACCUGCCCGGUGCUGGAAGGUUAAGGGGAAACGUUAGUGCUUCGGCACGAAGCGUAGAACCGAAGCCCCAGUAAACGGCGGCCGUAACUAUAACGGUCCUAAGGUAGCGAAAUUCCUUGUCGGGUAAGUUCC